rnacentral:rRNA from 1 species
CACGUAGGGCGCAAGCGUUGUCCGGAAUUAUUGGGCGUAAAGAGCUCGUAGGCGGACUGUCACGUCUGCUGUGAAAAGCUGGGGCUUAACCCUGGCCUUGCAGUGGAUACGGGCAGACUAGAGUGCGGUAGGGGAGACUGGAAUUCCUGGUGUAGCGGUGGAAUGCGCAGAUAUCAGGAGGAACACCGAUGGCGAAGGCGGGGUCUCUGGGCCGAUACUGACGCUGAGGAGCGAAAGCGUGGGGAGCGAACAGG